rnacentral:rRNA from 1 species
CGCAUCUGUGCAUGCAGCAUAUCAAUAAGCGGAGGAAAAGAAACUAACAAGGAUUCCCCUAGUAACGGCGAGUGAAGCGGGAAGAGCUCAAAUUUGAAAUCUUAAAGGGUUUCCCUUUACGAAUUGUAGUUUAAAGAAGUGUUUUCUGUUGAGGUUUUGGUAAAAGUUCUUUGGAAUAGGACAUCAUAGAGGGUGAGAAUCCCGUAUUUGACCUUUACUUUCAACUUUGUGAUACACUUUCAAAGAGUCGGAUUGUUUGGGAAUGCAGUCCAAAAUGGGUGGUAAAUUUCAUCUAAAGCUAAAUAUUGGCGAGAGACCGAUAGCGAACAAGUACCGUGAGGGAAAGAUGAAAAGAACUUUGAAAAGAGAGUUAAACAGUACGUGAAAUUGUCAAAAGGGAAGCGUUUGACACCAGUGUUGUCUUUCUGAAAAUCAAUUAAAGGAACUGUUUAUGCUAAGCUGUUUAGACUUUAUCAGCUAAUCUGUUUAGUUUUGAGCUUUUCUUUAAUGCACUUUUCAGCUUAACAAGUCAACAUCAAUUUCUUUUGCUGUAAAAAAGCUUGAGGAAGGUGGCUUGAGAUUCGUCUUAAGUGUUUAUAGCCUCUUGCCUAUGCAGUCGGAGAGAUUGAGGUCUGCAGCGUAGAUCCUUCGGGGCUAAAUGCAUUUGUGCUAAGUUAUAGCAUUUUAUAGGACAACUUGUUGACUAUGAUUUGUCUUGUAGCUUACUCGCUUAUGUUAUUUUACCUACGCUUAGGAUGUUGAGUCGUAGAGCACGCAG